rnacentral:rRNA from 2 species
GCUUGCACCUGAUUGAUUUUGGUCGCCAACGAGUGGCGGACGGGUGAGUAACACGUAGGUAACCUGCCCAGAAGCGGGGGACAACAUUUGGAAACAGAUGCUAAUACCGCAUAACAGCGUUGUUCGCAUGAACAACGCUUAAAAGAUGGCUUCUCGCUAUCACUUCUGGAUGGACCUGCGGUGCAUUAGCUUGUUGGUGGGGUAACGGCCUACCAAGGCGAUGAUGCAUAGCCGAGUUGAGAGACUGAUCGGCCACAAUGGGACUGAGACACGGCCCAUACUCCUACGGGAGGCAGCAGUAGGGAAUCUUCCACAAUGGGCGCAAGCCUGAUGGAGCAACACCGCGUGAGUGAAGAAGGGUUUCGGCUCGUAAAGCUCUGUUGUUAAAGAAGAACACGUAUGAGAGUAACUGUUCAUACGUUGACGGUAUUUAACCAGAAAGUCACGGCUAACUACGUGCCAGCAGCCGCGGUAAUACGUAGGUGGCAAGCGUUAUCCGGAUUUAUUGGGCGUAAAGAGAGUGCAGGCGGUUUUCUAAGUCUGAUGUGAAAGCCUUCGGCUUAACCGGAGAAGUGCAUCGGAAACUGGAUAACUUGAGUGCAGAAGAGGGUAGUGGAACUCCAUGUGUAGCGGUGGAAUGCGUAGAUAUAUGGAAGAACACCA